rnacentral:lncRNA from 1 species
UGCAACAUCGGCCGGAGAUGGUUGAGGUUUGCAACGGAGCUCGGUCUCUUGCGCACUCAGCCGGGGGAUCGUUUGCCGGAAACUGCCCAUCGAUUCGGCGAGGGAUUGAGCCGAGGAAACUUGUUUGGAGAAACGCCAUUUGGUCGUUAAGGUGAUCCGAGUGCGCGUGUCGUGGCUCCCUGAGUCGCUGCUCCACCUCUUCGGCUGGGAGCUGAAGGCCGCCCACCUGCCAAGAGACCCCAGGGCGUCCUCCAGUUCCUGCAGGACCCACGUGCCAAUGCAGAAGGACUACACGCUCUACUGUCCACGUGUAUUGGAGGAUCUUCAUUUAUUAGACACAGUGAGCAGGAUCUUCCCAGGCCGGUUAACAUCAGGCACUUACGAAGAUCUUUGCCUCGACACGGAGGGCAUCAUUCUUAUCUAGUUUGUUAUCUGUCUGUUCGUUGUGUGUGUGUGUGUGUGUGUUUAUGCAU